CUCGUCGACUCGUCGUCUUGUCCGUGCUCACCUCUUCGCUCCUCUCCAUCUCCCCACCGGCCACCGCCAUGCCUUUCGAUUUCCCAUGGCUCAACAAAGCCGCCUCCACCUCGACCCCAAACCCUAGCCUGAGCAAGCCCAACAAUCCAAACCCCUUCCUCCCCAUCCAGACCCACCUCACCUCCUUCCUAUCCUCCCUCCCCCUCCCACGGGCCAUUGCGCCGCCAUGGGCUCGCAUCCCCUCCCCAUCUUCGUCGGCGGCGCUGCCAGUCGCCGAGAUCGAGGACCGGCUCGCCGGGGUGCCCGUGUACGCCCUCGCUAACUCCGCGCAGGAAUUUAUGCUCGUGUCGAAAACCCACAGGGGCGGGGGAGGGGAUGUGGCCGGCGGUGUGGGCGGAAGCGCGAGGCAUCCACCAGCGCUCGGGAUGCUCUGCUUCCGGAGGGAGGACGCCGAUAUGCUCCUCGCACAAAUGGACGACGAUAUGCGCGCUGGCUCCACCGUGGUACCUGUUGCGCUCAACAAGGUUAUCCAACUGAAGUCUGAUGGUGUGGCAUUUAGAUUUCUUCCUGAUCCUUCUCAGGUGGCUAAUGCAAUUAAGUUGAUGCAAGAUGGAGGGGAAUUUUUGAAUGAGGGAUUUCCAGGAGUUCCUGUUUUCCAGUCAAGGAGCCUUGUUCUGAGGAAUGAUAACAAGAGAUAUCGUCCAGUUUUCUUCAGAAAGGAGGACUUAGACAAGUCACUGCACCGAGCAUCUAGUGACCAGCAAAAUCCUAUCCCUGCUGUUAGGAUUGGUGACACACAGGUUUGUUCUUUGGAGGAUAUCAUCACAUCAAUGAAGGAUAGCUCCUCCUCAAAAUGGGAUGAUGCCGUUUUUGUUCCUCCAGGUUUCGACAUAGCUAUUGGCUCAGAGCCAUCACACCUCAACAAGUAGAUAUUUCUGUACAUUGAGGGUGGUCAGCUGGUAUUGUCUUGAAAAUAGUUAAACAUGGAUAUGGUAGAUUGAUAGUAUAUAUGUUCAUGCCCUUGACACCAUGACCUGAUGUGUGACUCAUUUUCAAGGUUGCCAUUCCCUGCGUUAGCAAUACGUUCCGCAAAGUAGACCAGAAGGUGAACAAACCUCAUCGAAAGUAGACCAGAAAGUAAAUCGAUCGUCAUCCCUUGUUUCUUCUAUGCAUAAUAUCGAAAUUCUGUAUGUACUGUGCGUCGCUCACGAGUUUGGCGUCAGCAACUUUGCAGAGGCAAUGUUUCCCAGGUGUUCACCGUGAAUGAUGUGAAUGGAUCUAGCUAGGCCAGUUGCACAAGACUCCUUUGUGCAGUCAAUUUAAUACUCCCUCCGAUCCAUGUUGUACUAAAUCA
rnacentral:rRNA from 1 species